AUUGAACGCUGGCGGCAGGCCUAACACAUGCAAGUCGAGCGGAUGAAGGGAGCUUGCUCCUGGAUUCAGCGGCGGACGGAUGAGUAAUGCCUAGGAAUCUGCCUGGUAGUGGGGGAUAACGUCCGGAAACGGGCGCUAAUACCGCAUACGUCCUGAGGGAGAAAGUGGGGGAUCUUCGGACCUCACGCUAUCAGAUGAGCCUAGGUCGGAUUAGCUAGUUGGUGGGGUAAAGGCCUACCAAGGCGACGAUCCGUAACUGGUCUGUGAGGAUGAUCAGUCACACUGGAACUGAGACACGGUCCAGACUCCUACGGGAGGCAGCAGUGGGGAAUAUUGGACAAUGGGCGAAAGCCUGAUCCAGCCAUGCCGCGUGUGUGAAGAAGGUCUUCGGAUUGUAAAGCACUUUAAGUUGGGAGGAAGGGCAGUAAGUUAAUACCUUGCUGUUUUGACGUUACCAACAGAAUAAGCACCGGCUAACUUCGUG
rnacentral:rRNA from 1 species